GAGCUAAACUCUAACGCACAAACAUACACCUAUCAACAAACAAAACAUUUGACCAACUGAGUAGAUGUGACUGAACAGUAAAUUAACUAAGUACCGCAAGGGGAAAUAAUCAAGCAAUAAAUAGCAAAGAUCAACCCUUGUACCUUUCGCAUCAUGGUCUAGCAAGAAAUCAAAGACAAGAAGAAUCAUUAGCCUCACCCCCGAAACCAGAUGAGCUAUUUUCAAGCAGCUAACGGGCGCACCCUUCUCUGUAGCAAAAGAGUGGGAAGACUUAAAAAUAGAGGUGAAACGCCUACCGAAUCUGGAGAUAGUCGGCUAUCCCAAAAAGUAUAUUAGUUCACCACAGAUACAAGAUCUUAUCACUCUGUGGAACUAAUAGGGGUACAGCCCUAUUGAAAUAGGAUACAACCUAAAUUUGAGAGAAACCACUACACAACCCCAGUAGGCCCUAAAGCAGCCACCCAACAAAAUAUCGUUAAAGAAUUAUUCAACUUUUAAACCCAACACUAACUUAAAACUCCAAAUUAACUAAGGGUAAACCCAUCACAAUGGGUACUAUUAUGCUAGAACUAAUAAUAAGACAACCUCUCUUUAUGCACCCUUCUGCUAAAACCGGACCAACCAUUAGCCAUUAACAGACCCCAUCUGGCACUAAACUAAACUCUACACAACUUAAAACAGACUGUCACCCCAACACAGGCGCAUCAAAAAGAAAGAUCCACCAUUAUAAAAGGAACUCGGCAAACAAAGACUCCAACUGUUUAACAAAAACAUAACCUUUAGACCAACAAAUAUUAAAGGCAACGCCUGCCCAGUGAACAUUAAACGGCCGCGGUACCCUAACCGUGCAAAGGUAGCAUAAUCAUUUGUCUACUAAUUAUAGACCUGUAUGAACGGCAAAAUGAGAGUCUAACUGUCUCUUAUAAUAAAUCAAUUAAACUGAUCUCCUAGUAAAAAAGCUAGAAUUCAACCAUAAGACCAGAAGACCCUGUGAAGCUUAAAUUAAAAUAUUAAACCUUAUAAUAACUACUUUCGGUUGGGGCGACCUUGGAAAAAAAAAAAACUUCCAAUAACACGACCUCCUUCGCACUACCACUCAGGCCACAAGCCAACUAACGACCCAGCAAAGUCGAUAAUCGAACCAAGUUACUCCAGGGAUAACAGCGCAUCCUCUUCAAGAGCCAUAUCAAGAAGGUUUACGACCUCGAUGUUGGAUCAGGACAUCCUAAUGGUGCAGACGCUAUUAAGGGUUCGUUUGUUCAACGAUUAA
rnacentral:rRNA from 1 species